UGAUGGUGAUGAGGACAAUCACGAAGCAUGGACUUGAAUCUUUCCCAAGCAUAGUAUAGAUUCUCACCAUCUUUCUUCCUGAAACUCAGAAUUUCACUUCUCAACCA
rfam:Capsicum annuum cultivar Zunla-1 chromosome 12, whole genome shotgun sequence